rnacentral:rRNA from 1 species
AGAGUUUGAUCCUGGCUCAGGAUGAACGCUGGCGGCAUGCCUAAUACAUGCAAGUCGAACGAGAGACCUUCGGGUCUCUAGUGGCGAACGGGUGAGUAACACGUAGGGAACCUGCCCGCGCACCGGGAAUACGCUCUGGAAACGGAGAACAAAUCCCGAUGUACAGGAAGGAGGCAUCUUCUUUCUGUGAAACAUCCUUUCGGGGAUGGGGCGCGGAUGGACCUGCGGUGCAUUAGUUUGUUGGCGGGGUAAAGGCCCACCAAGACGAUGAUGCAUAGCCGGCCUGAGAGGGCGGACGGCCACAUUGGGACUGAGACACGGCCCAGACUCCUGCGGGAGGCAGCAGUAGGGAAUUUUCGUCAAUGGGCGCAAGCCUGAACGAGCGAUGCCGCGUGAGUGAAGAAGGCCUUCGGGUCGUAAAGCUCUGUUGCGGGGGAAAAAAGGCAGCAUCAGGAAAUGGGUGCUGACUGAUGGUGCCCCGCCAGAAAGUCACGGCUAACUACGUGCCAGCAGCCGCGGUAAUACGUAGGUGGCGAGCGUUAUCCGGAAUGAUUGGGCGUAAAGGGUGCGCAGGCGGUCCUGCAAGUCUGGAGUGAAACGCAUGAGCUCAACUCAUGCAUGGCUUUGGAAACUGGAGGACUGGAGAGCAGGAGAGGGCGGUGGAACUCCAUGUGUAGCGGUAAAAUGCGUAGAUAUAUGGAAGAAACCCAGUGGCGAAGGGCGGCCGCCUGGCCUGUUGCUGACGCUGAGGCACGAAAGGCGUGGGGAGCAAAUUAGAUUUAGAUACCUUAGUAGUCCACGCCCGUAAACGAUGAGGACCAAGUGCUGGGGGUGAAACCUCAGUGCUUGAAGUUAACGCAGUGAGUCUUCCGCCUGGGGAGUAUGCACGCAAGUGUGAAACUCAAAGGAAUUGACGGGGGCCCGCACAAGCGGUGGAGUAUGUGGUUUAAUUCGAAGCAACGCGAAGAACCUUACCAGGCCUUGACAUCCCGCCGGCCGGCGCGUAACGGCGCCUUCCCUUCGGGGCGGCGGAGACAGGUGGUGCAUGGUUGUCGUCAGCUCGUGUCGUGAGAUGUUGGGUUAAGUCCCGCAACGAGCGCAACCCCUGCCCUUAGUAGCCAGCGCAUAGAGGCGGGCACUCUAGGGGGACUGCCGGGGACAACCCGGAGGAAGGCGGGGAUGACGUCAAAUCAUCAUGCCCCUUACGGCCUGGGCUACACACGUGCUACAAUGGCGUAACAGAGGGAGGCGAGGCCGCGAGGCGGAGCGAACCCCAGAAACAACGUCCCAGUUCGGACUGCAGCCUGCAACUCGGCUGCACGAAGCUGGAAUCGCUAGUAAUCGCGGAUCAGAACGCCGCGGUGAAUGCGUACCCGGGUCUUGCACACACCGCCCGUCA